rnacentral:rRNA from 1 species
UGGUGGAGUGAUUUGUCUGGUUAAUUCCGUUAACGAACGAGACCUCAGCCUACUAAAUAGUUAUGCGAAUCUUUCUACUCAAGGCGGCGUUGACCUGUGCUGGCGUGGGCUUGCCUGCCCGGUGCAGUUCGUUGGCGUGCCUGGUCAGAUUCGUAGCCAACUUCUUAGAGGGACUAAUGGUGUCUAGCCAUUGGAAGUUUGAGGCAAUAACA